UGGAGAGAAAACCCAUAGAAUCUUUUCCGAUAGCUUCAGCAAAGAAAUAGGAAACAAUAUUAAGGUUUGAGGUCUGUUUGUUGGUAAUAGCUUAUUUGGCUCUUUCUUCCACUCUUUAUAACAGAAUUUAGGUGGGACCGGAGACUUUUUAGAUUCAGCUUGCUACAUGUGUUUAUGAAUUCCAUAAACAGAAAGGGAUGUGUGCCUGUGUGGGAGAGGAGGGGAAAGCAGGUAGAGAGGAGUGGUGGUCAUUUGCAGGACCAUUGCUCUGACUGCUAAGAAUGUAGGAAAUACUGCUCAUAAUCGUUACUAUGGAAAAUUAAAUAUACUUCAGUUAGCAAUGACUAAUUACACACAUUGGUUUUCUUCAGAAGCCAACAUGUGGUAAAUUGGAGUGAGGUAGCUGAGGAGAGCAGGCUCUGGAAAAUAAGAUCAUCACGUCAGCCUGUAAAUUGACAUGAACCUUGCAAAUAAGUAUUAAGGCCAAAAAAGGUAUAAAACACCCAGAACCUCCAGGCCACUUGUGGCUGCUUCACAGAUCUAGGGGUGAAUCCAUGAGUUGGAAAAUAAAUGCACAUUAGUCCAGGAUCCAAGUAAAUUCUAGUGGGCAAGAGGAAGAGAGACUACAAUAUCAUUUUCUUACUGCUGGAGGCAGCAGAUUAAGGACCCCUGCCUGCAAUGUGCCAAAUGCACUAUGUGACUCCCAAGACCCUGCACAUCCAGGAGGACAGUUCAGGCUUCCUCCAGGCGGCAGUCACUGGCCUGAACUCCCUUCUUCAGGAGGGAGGUUCUCCCUGGAAAAGCUGAUCUGCAUUUCUGCUGGGAUCGAUGCUGAGGAGACUGAAUACAUUGUUCUCCAGUUGCAAGAAGAAAGCUUAACGUGGCUUCUGAAUUCCAAGAGCACACUGCACAGUGGGACAGGGAUGAAUCUGGAGAACGUCAUCCUCAGCAAACUGACACAAGAACAGAAAAUGAAACACCGCAUAUUCUCACUCAUAGGUGGGUGAUGAAAAAUGAGAACACAUGGACACAGAAAGGGGAGUACUAAACAUUGG
rnacentral:lncRNA from 13 species